ensembl:lncRNA
AUUCAAUGUGCAUAGAAAGUCAUCACAGCACUUGAAGUGUUCCUGCGCCGUCCGCUUGCGCUGCCCCGGGCUCACCGGUGUUCACAGACCGAAGUUCAAAGUUCUCAACACGCCAGUGGGCGGGGAUAGGAGGGACAACACAACAAUACUCAACUCUAAUUGGACUUGUGUCGCUGUCACUCAAACUGUAGGCCCAGCAUUUAGCUGUCUACUUUAGGUCGUCUAGUCGGACUUGAUUGAGAACUUGCUAUCAAGGCUCCUUGAAAGGCUCAGAAAAUCGUAACAUUCCAGGACUAUGUGGCUAGUGGGAGGAAAAGGACAGCUGUAUGCAAAACAUGCAAAACGUAAAUAACUGGUGUGACAGCCGCAACGUCUAACUUUUUAGAGUACCGGAAAUCCCCAACGGCAGAGCCAACAUGCUUUUCUGAAACACACUCCGUUAAGGAGCAUCCACAACAAACAGCUUGCUGCAAAAGCGGAUGUUGGCAAACUGAUUCAAGGCAAACACCAAUGGAACUACUGGUCUGCCUUCCACAUAAAACCCAAUGGAACUACUGGUCUGCCUUCCACAUUAAACCCAAUGGAACUACUGGUCUGCCUUCCACAUUAAACCCAAUGGAACUACUGGUCUGCCUUCCACAUAAAACCCAAUGGAACUACUGGUCUGCCUUCCACAUAAAACCCAAUGGAACUACUGGUCUGCCUUCCACAUUAAACCCAAUGGAACUACUGGUCUGCCUUCCACAUAAAACCCAAUGGAACUACACUGGCUCUGUCUUCCACAUAAAACCCAAUGGAACUACAUUGGCUCUGUCUUCCACAUUAAACCCAAUGCAACUACACUG